rnacentral:rRNA from 1 species
UACGUAGGGUGCAAGCGUUAAUCGGAAUUCUGGGCGUAAAGCGAGUGUAGGCGGUGUGGUAAGUCGGAUGUGAAAGCCCCCGGGCUCAACCCGGGAAGUGCACUCGAUACUGCCACGCUAGAGUAUCGGAGAGGUUGGUGGAAUUCUCGGUGUAGAAGGUGAAAUUCGUAGAUAUCGAGAGGAACACCGGUGGCGAAGGCGGCCAACUGGACGAAUACUGACGU